CUCAAGACCAAUCCGCAAGCAUCAGGUUAGCCACUUGCUGCAUUUGAUCAUGUUGUUAAAGUUUCAGAUAUUUAUGUGAUGCACUGAUGCGUGAGUAGAUAUGAGAUUCAGAAUGUUCAUAUGAUAGGUAGCACUAUCCUUCUUGACAGUUUAAGGAAUUAUCUUUCUUUCUCUAAGCACUCCUUUUAAUGGUCAUCCUUUUCAAAUUGUUGAUUGUUUCUUUGCGAAAGGUAUUUGUGAUAUGUUCGCUGAAUUUUGAACUUUCAGUGGUUCUACUUUUUUAUUCAUAUACACCAAAUAGGAUUUUUUGCUUGCUUGCCUAUGUUUCUGCCACUUAAACAAGACACCAUGCCAUUCGUGAUAAAUUAUAGUUUAUGUGCAUCAAUAGAACACUAGAAACAAUAUAAUUGCUAUUUAGCUGACUGUAGUAUUCUGUAUAAAUCUAAGCUCUGUAGGAUAAAACUGGGCAGGUCAGGUCUAGCAGGUUAAGUCUGACUAACCUUUCCUUUUAUUUUUGAUAUGCACGUUGCGUGUUCCUACUGGUGGUCAUGGGCUGAUGGCAAAUGAGUAUUAUCCUGUUAUUGAGUCUCUUGCUCGAGGUCUUGACAUCAGGCUAAAUCAAAGGCUGUGGCCGAGGAGAAGUUUAAGCUCUGCAUGAAUGCGUACAAUUCACUCUGCAGCGUCCUCAAGUCUGCUUAGUGCUGCCCCCGCUAUUACACACAUGACAAAUGUUGCAACUUGUAUUAUCGGUUUUGCAAACCGCAGGCUGUUGCUUUGUUUCAAUUUUAGUUUGAGAUACACACAUUUUUGCCAAGAGGCAAGUUCCGACAUGGAAGGAUGGAGCCACUGUUCAGUACCCUAGGUAUGGAAUAAGCUCAAGCCAACCGACCACCAUCUGAUUGCCCCUGGUCCGCCGCCACACCCACAUUCGCCGUCCGGUCGUCCGAUCAGAGCUCCCAUCAGUUUUUUUAUGUGAGGAACUGUUGAGCUGCUUGGUAGCUUGCUGUUUUUUUUGUCGUGGUGAUAGAAAAAUUUGAAGUGUCAUCUUUAUUGCAUUACGAGUUGAGAUUGUCCCUUUUUAGUUCUCUGUCAUGAACAAUAUGGUGUUGCUAUUUCUAUUUCAGAGAGUCUACAUAUUGGAGAUCCUGCCAACAAAGCUGCGUGGUCAGUUCACCCAUCCCGGCCCAUUUGGAUCUGUGCUCUGGUUCUCCAUCCUUCCACGUUGGCUCAAGAGGACUCGGUAGCAGCACCGGGAGAGCUUCACCGGCCAUGGAUUGACCAGAACGGAAGAAUGCUAUACCGAUCUGGAUGGAGAGCUCUGUUUUGGUCACUCACCACUUUCCUCCAAGCAUUCAGUACUCAUGACUGAUGCAAGUGAAGCUCAGCAUGGGCAUGUUGCUUCUUCCCUCGAGCGGAAAUAGCACUUCCAAGUCACUAUAUUAAACUUAUG